UACGUAGGGUGCGAGCGUUGUCCGGAAUUAUUGGGCGUAAAGGGCUCGUAGGCGGUCUGUCACGUCGAAAGUGAAAACUCAGGGCUCAACCCUGCGCUGCUUCCGAUACGGGCAGAUAGGAGGUAUGCAGGGGGAGAAUGGAAGUUCCUGGUAGCGGUGAAAUGCGCAGAUAUCAGGAGGAACACCUGUGGUGUAGACGGCUUUCUGGACCAUAGCUGACGUUGAGACACGAAAGCGUGGGUAGCAAACAGG
rnacentral:rRNA from 1 species